rnacentral:rRNA from 1 species
UAUUGGACAAUGGGCGCAAGCCUGAUCCAGCAAUACCGCGUGUGUGAAGAAGGCCUUAGGGUUGUAAAGCACUUUCAAUUGGGAGGAAAACCUGCCGGUCAAUACCCGGUAGCUUGACAUUACCUUUAGAAGAAGCACCGGCUAACUCCGUGCCAGCAGCCGCAGUAAUACGGAGGGUGCGAGCGUUAAUCGGAAUUACUGGGCGUAAAGCGUGCGUAGGCGGUUCGUUAAGUCAGAUGUGAAAGCCCUGGGCUCAACCUGGGAACUGCAUUUGAAACUGGCGGACUAGAGUUUAGUAGAGGGGAGUGGAAUUUCAGGUGUAGCGGUGAAAUGCGUAGAUAUCUGAAGGAACACCAGUGGCGAAGGCGACUCCCUGGACUAGAACUGACGCUGAGUACGAAA